rnacentral:rRNA from 1 species
AGUGAACGCUGGCGGCGUGCCUAAUACAUGCAGUCGAACGGAGAUUAAGAGCUUGCUAUUUAAUCUUAGUGGCGCACGGGUGAGUAAUAUAUAGCUAAUCUGCCCUACAUUAGAGGACAACAGUUGGAAACGACUGCUAAUACUCUAUACUCCUUCUAAGCAUAAGCUUAGUCGGGAAAGUUUUUCGGUGUAGGAUGAGGCUAUAUCGUAUCAGCUAGUUGGUGAGGUAAUGGCUCACCAAGGCUAUGACGCGUAACUGGUCUGAGAGGAUGAUCAGUCACACUGGAACUGAGACACGGUCCAGACUCCUACGGGAGGCAGCAGUAGGGAAUAUUGCUCAAUGGGGGAAACCCUGAAGCAGCAACGCCGCGUGGAGGAUGACACUUUUCGGAGCGUAAACUCCUUUUCUUGGGAAAGAAUUAUGACGGUACCCAAGGAAUACCGC